rnacentral:rRNA from 1 species
CCUACGGGUGGCAGCAGUGAGGAAUAUUGGUCAAUGGGCGCGAGCCUGAACCAGCCAAGUAGCGUGAAGGAUGACUGCCCUAUGGGUUGUAAACUUCUUUUAUAUGGGAAUAAAGUGUUGUACGUAUACUGCUUUGCAUGUACCUUAUGAAUAAGGAUCGGCUAACUCCGUGCCAGCAGCCGCGGUAAUACGGAGGAUUCGAGCGUUAUCCGGAUUUAUUGGGUUUAAAGGGAGCGUAGGGGGGUUGUUAAGUCAGUUGUGAAAGUUUGCGGCUCAACCGUAAAAUUGCAGUUGAUACUGGCAGCCUUGAGUACAGUAGAGGUAGGCGGAAUGCGUGGUGUAGCGGUGAAAUGCUUAGAUAUCACGAAGAACUCCGAUUGCGAAGGCAGCCUGCUGGACUGUAACUGACGCUGAGGCUCGAAAGUGUGGGUAUCAAACAGGAUUAGAUACCCCAGUAGUC